rnacentral:misc_RNA from 1 species
UCGAGUUUUUGACUGGGUUGUAGCUGGCCUUCAGAGGCAUGUGCACGCCCUGCUCAAUCCACUCUACACCUGUGCAUUUACUGUGGGUUUCAGAUCGUGAAGCGGGCUCUUUUACGGGCCCGUGAAGCGCUUCUGUGCCUGCGUUUAUUACAAACCCUGUAAAGUAUCAGAAUGUGUAUUGCGAUGUAACGCAUGUAUAUA